CAGUUUUUAGAAGUUGAUUUAACUGGGUUUGGCAUCUCUGUGCAAGAGGAGGGCACAGCUAGUUGACCGUCCUCAUCAGAGAAGUAAAACUUUCAAAGGGACCAGUCCAGCUAGACUACAUUUCCCAGCACCCCCCGCCCCCCACAGUUAGGUGGGGCCAUAUGGCGGAGUUCUGGCCAGCGGAUGUGGGUGGAAGGAAUCUCUGGAACUUCUAGGACUCAUCCUUGUUCCUGCUCUUCCCACCUCCAGCAAGAACACGGGCAUAGGGAAUAGUGGGGUGUCAGCAUCAUCUGUCAUAAGAGGGACAACUUCAGGCUCAGAUUCCAAGUGAGAAUCUUGGGGUUCACCCUCCUUGGACUCCAUAUCUUUUGUCUACUCCUUAGUUGAUGGAAUGGAAUGUGCUGAUUGGCUUAAACAAACAACGGACAUCCUGAUGCAACUGAUGCAGAAGACAAUCUUAGGAAUAUCAUUUGUCUCCAUUCCCUCAGAAGAGAAGCUUUCAGACAUGUUGUGGAGCAGCAGUCCUCCACCCUGGCUGCCUGUCAACGUUACCUGUGGAGCUUUUAGAUAUACAAACGCCAGCUCCAGCUUCUGAGUUCCUGGCAGCAGGGCCCUGGGCAUCUGUAUGUUUAAACAACCUCCCAGGGAUGCUGAUGCACAGCCAGGGCUGCGCGCCAUGGCUGGAGAAGAAUCAUUUCAUGGAAUUCACCAGAAGAGAAGUAACCAUUUUUUUUCACAAGUGGAAGAGCAGAGUUAAAUAUGCCAUGAUGUGUGGAGGAAUCCAUGCCAAUGUAUCCUCCUCGUGCUUUUAGUUUGUCCAUGGAAAAAUUGCCUUCCAUGAAACCAGUCCCUGGUGCCAAAAAGUUGGGGACCACUGGAACAGAGAGAUUUGGAAUGAAGAGCUGUCUCUAGCAAAAUAAAGUCAAUGACAGAAACAUGUGAAAAACUUCUUGGAGGGUUUUGUAUAGUACAACUUCAAUUGAUUGCUUUAAUUUUAGCUUUGUGAAUAUACAGCUCAUAUGAAAUAAAGAAAAAAUGUUGCAGA